AGAAAGGACAAUGGGCACUUUUGUAUGGGGAGUGUCCCAUGGAUGUAUACUGUUGAGACAUAUGUCGUUUUAAAGCUCUUAAUGGUAGUAUUAUUUUAUUGUAUGGCACCAACCUUGGACCACUUGCAGGGACCGAGCUAUAUAAAAAAAGAAGUUGCGCAUAUAAGCAGUUAUAUUUCCUUAUACGCGGGAUAUAAAAAGUUUUAGCGUAUUUUAUUCGAAAGAAUAUAAAAAAUGCUUUAUGUUUUUUGUAUCAACACCAAUGAUAAAGUAUUUAAAGGGACACAAUGUACAGUUUUAAAAAAUCGUCAUUCUAAAAAUUACUUGAUACGCAGCGAAAUAAGAGUGUAUACAAAUGCCAUGUAUAUCAUGUGAAAAGUAUUUUUAUAAGCUAUUUUUCGUAUAAUAUAACUGGGGUCAAAUCGUUGCAGGGACCAAAAUAAAACCAUUUAAUGAGUUAAUUAAUUGUAGUUAAUUACGCCUUAACUUUUCUACUCAACGCCAGAUGUCGCUCUAAAGCAAAAUUCUACUUGACGUAAAACAUUUAUACAUAGCGGUAAUCUCGUCAGUCUUACUCCAUCAUUUUAAAAAGUAUAGACUAGUUUAUGGAUUUCUAAAGUUAUGUCAAGAUGACUCUGAAUGUAAUAUUGUCAACAAUAAUUGUCAAAACGCGCAAUUUAAAAUAUUCAACAUUGUAAUUACAAAAUAGUAUAUUUCUAAUACGCUAUAAUUUUCUCCAAUCGAAAGGCACUCCAUUCCAUUGAUCUCAGAGAGUAUGCUCCUUGAUAAUCUUCACUAUUCAUGGGCAUUUUUAAGUUGUUCAUCGGACACUGAGGCCAUUGAAGUUGUGGCGAUCACGUCGGGGUCACCAAUAUAGGGUGCCUACCGGGCGUUGAAUAACAAGUCCGUUGUAGACACACUAUGUUUAAUUUUAAAGUUUAAGGAUAGUUACAAGAGUGAAGAAGCACAGGCACAAGAGCAUAGAAAGCACAGAUUACAGUCAGAAGGAAAGAAACACGAAAGAAAGCGAAAUAACGUAAAAUUAGGCGUAAGCACUGUACUCGCGUAUGUAGCGGAUUGAUAAGCAGUGCGAUCUCAUCCGCGACGGCGAAUGCAUGUCUCUCCGCAUCAAAAUGGAAAUGGAGUACCUAGAAACCAUACGGCAAUAAUGAGGAUGCAUCGACAUAAGAAGAAUCGAACAUGGGCAAGAUAAAGUUCAAGAAAAAAGCAAAUAUAAUGUGUACUUGUGUGUAGUCAAAGAAAGUUGAAAAAUAAAGCAUAAUUAAUGGCCAUAGAAUACAGAACCGAUACACGAACAUUAAGACUAUUAAAAAUAGACAUAUAGGUUGAUCGUACUACUCGUACUAAUGUAUUUCUUUUGUUCAAUUAUAUUAUUGCAUUAAAGUUAGAUUCUCUAGGUAUAUAUUAUUCAUAGGUUCUGUAUUCUAUACGAAUUGUUUUAGUGUAAUUAUUGUACUAAAUACCGUUGACCGCUUGUCAACAGUAUUUAUUUCUACAUUACUAUCACAGAAGAUUUUAGGCCCUACAGUAGUUUUUGAAUUAGUAUUUACUAUGGACGAAUAUAGCGAAAUGUGAGUUUUUACCUAAAAUAUCAAUCUUUUGUGAACGUGGUGUAGAGUAUAUACCGCCUAAGACUGAAGUAGCUACGCGAGCAACGUUUUCAAAAUAGAAUCGUGUUCAUGGUCGGCCCAUGGUAAAAAUAAUUAGGUACCCGUAGACCCGCUGGUGAACACUGUUUAUGAUAACACUUAAAAUAAACCCCGUGGACCCACCAGGAGAACAUAUUGGAGAGACUAGAGAUAAUACACCGCUUUAAGGGCGGUCGCACUCGGCAUUGACAUCUGGCGUCUAGAUGGCGGGUGGACCUCAACGAAUUCCAAAGAAAUAUUUAUUAACAUCCAAUGACGUUCAGCUCGGACACCAGAUCUUCAAUCUCCUGAUUCCUGUGGAGUCUCCAGGUUCCAUCCUCUCCACGUGUGGGUCCUAGGAUUUUUCGCGCUGCCAGACUCCGAUGACUCGGGCACGUAGUCCAGAUGGGUGAGGAUCGUGCAGCCUGGAGGGCGUACUCUGAAGUUCCAUAUGGCCGAAGACCGUCUAGACGUCCUAGGUAGGUCCCGCUGGAGAGACGAAAUGCAAAAAGACCUUAGCGAACUCGGCGCCGUCGACUAGAUGGAAACGGUUUUGGACAGAGAAGCAUGGCGGUCUUUGGUGUCGGAGGCCAAGAUCCACUUCGGGUCGCUGCGCCACAGCAGUAAGUAAGUAUUUAUAAACAUACUGUACCUUAUGUGUACCUAACCCAAAACGAGAUAUUUAAGAAAAAGUCCACCAGCCAUUCUGACGUCAGGAUUGCGGUUGGACCUAUGAAAUCUUGCAUUAUACCGCACUAAAAGUAUGCAGUUAUAUGGUACAGUCGCCAUCAGAUAUAUCGGAGUGGCCGAGGUGCUCAAAGAUAUCUAAACACGCACUCUAACCUCUUGACAGUUCAGAUAUUCGUGGGUACCUUGGCCGCUCCGAUAUAUAUGAUGGUGACUGUACCUUCAGUGUACCUCUGUAAAUGGAAAUAGAAACCGGUGUACCUCUCCCCAAAACAAGCUAGGCUAAGCUCAUGUACAAUAUAACUGCAUACUUUUAGUGCGGUAUAAUGCAAGAUUUCAUAGGUCCACCCGCCAUCCUAACGUCAGGUUGGCGGGUGGACCGUUUUGUAAAAUAUCUCGUUUUGGGGAAAGGUACACUGGUUUC